rnacentral:ncRNA from 1 species
GGCCUUUGGUCCCGGUUGGUGGGACGAACCGGGACCAAAGGGGGGCAUUGGUCCCGGUUCGUGGCACAAACCGGGACCAAUGCCCACCUUUAGUCCCGUUUGGUGCCACCAACCGGGACCAAAGGCCGCC